AGGGAUGAGUGAAGAGCUGGCUGCUCGUCCCUGCGAGAGAGGGGUAUCUCAGCCGCCGGGACCCCUGGCGGGGAGGAAGGCGCUUCCUGUGGUCGGCCUCAGCCCCCACCGCAGACCGAGGCCCCGGCCGCCCCGCCGCGUUCACUCCCAGCUUCCACAGAGUGCCUGGUGUUUCUCGGUUUGAUGUUUCUCCCUGAAGAAUCUUACUUGCAAAAGAUCAAUAUCUGCAGCUUGGCCAGUCAGGAAGACCAAUUGUGUCACUGGCCACCUGAACUACAAGAGCACAUUAAAGCAUUUUAAGAAAU